rnacentral:rRNA from 1 species
UGAAGAAGGCCUUCGGGUUGUAAAGCACUUUUAUCGGGAACGAAGUACCACGGGUUAAUAACCUAUGGGGCUGACGGUACCCGAGGAAUAAGCACCGGCUAACUUCGUGC